rnacentral:rRNA from 1 species
AUUGAACGCUGCCGGCAGGCCUAACACAUGCAAGUCGAACGAGUGGCGGAAGGGGGAGUAAUGUCUGGGAAACCGCCCGGUGGAGGGGGAUAACUACUGGAAACGGGAGCUAAUACCGCAUACCAUCGGAUGUGCCCCGCGGGGAUUAGCUAGUAGGUGGGGUAACGGCUUACCUAGGCGACGAUCCCUAGCUGGUCUGAGAGGAUGACCAGCCACACUGGAACUGAGACACGGUCCAGACUCCUACGGGAGGCAGCAGUGGGGAAUAUUGCACAAUGGGCGCAAGCCUGAUGCAGCCAUGCCGCGUGUAUGAAGAAGGCCUUCGGGUUGUAAAGUACUUUCAGCGGGGAGGCGUUACUCGCAGAGGAAGCACCGGCUAACUCCGUGCCAGCAGCCGCGGUAAUAC